ACUCCUACGGGAGGCAGCAGUGAGGAAUAUUGCACAAUGGGCGCAAGCCUGAUGCAGCCAUGCCGCGUGUAUGAAGAAGGCCUUCGGGUUGUAAAGUACUUUCAGCGGGGAGGAAGGCGAUAAGGUUAAUAACCUUGUCGAUUGACGUUACCCGCAGAAGAAGCACCGGCUAACUCCGUGCCAGCAGCCGCGGUAAUACGGAGGGUGCAAGCGUUAAUCGGAAUUACUGGGCGUAAAGCGCACGCAGGCGGUCUGUCAAGUCGGAUGUGAAAUCCCCGGGCUCAACCUGGGAACUGCAUUCGAAACUGGCAGGCUAGAGUCUUGUAGAGGGGGGUAGAAUUCCAGGUGUAGCGGUGAAAUGCGUAGAGAUCUGGAGGAAUACCGGUGGCGAAGGCGGCCCCCUGGACAAAGACUGACGCUCAGGUGCGAAAGCGUGGGGAGCAAACAGGAUUAGAAACCCUUGUAGUCCCAUGA
rnacentral:rRNA from 1 species